GUCGAGAAUUUUUCACAAUGGGCGAAAGCCUGAUGGAGCGACGCCGCGUGGGGGAUGAAUGGCUUCGGCCCGUAAACCCCUGUCAUUCGCGAGCAAACGUUAUUAUUUAAAAGAUGAUAGCCUGAUAGUAGCGAAAGAGGAAGGGACGGCUAACUCUGUGCCAGCAGCCGCGGUAAUACAGAGGUCCCAAGCGUUGUUCGGAUUUACUGGGCGUAAAGGGUGCGUAGGUGGUGGGGUAAGUCGGAUGUGAAAUCUCCGAGCCCAACUCGGAAAGUGCAUUGGAAACUACCCUGCUCGAGGGUUGGAGGGGGGACUGGAAUACUUGGUGUAGCAGUGAAAUGCGUAGAUAUCAAGUGGAACACCAGUGGCGAAGGCGAGUCCCUGGACAACUCCUGACACUGAGGCACGAAAGCUAGGGGAGCAAACA
rnacentral:rRNA from 1 species